CGCAGAACAGUGAUGAAAACGAGAUAAUGCAGCAGUGGAAAGGCAUGGAGUUACUGGUGACAUUCCAACCACACUUGCUGGCGAAUGCGAUUAUGGAAAUGUCGAGCGGAUCUGACGACAUACCGACCUCAAGAGCAAAGAACCGCACAGCCUAGUUAUUGUUUGUUGGAUCGCGCAAGAAUGCAACGGAAUUCAAUGACUCAAAAGGCUCAUUCAUAUUUAUCAGAUUUUCAAACUGAAUAACUUGCAACCUUUGCAACGUGUAUGGUUUAUCUUCCUGAAAUUCCUGUAUUAUUCCUGUAUUUAAGAUGACUUAAUGAAGCGGUCAUCACUUAGCAAGACUAUGGUUAUUGAUUAUCACUAUCGGAAAAAAAACAGUUGUUGAUUAAAUGGCUUUGGUGGCAAUCUGGUUAAGUGGUCAUUUGUGGCUGCCCUACUUCCUGGUUGGUGAUGCUGUUUUUGUGCCUGAUUGAUUAUAUUUUGGUGAUGUGAUUGGCUACUGUCCUGCACUGUGCAUCUCAAGCCUGGUGAAAAAAAAAAUGUAAAAAAAAUAAACCGUCUGUCGAGUGGUCGCAAAUUGA